UGCACAACCGUCUAACGACCAAUGCCACUUCCGGGGUGGAUUACUGGCGAACGGGUGAGUAACACGUGGGCAAUCUGCCCUGCACUCUGGGACAAGCCCUGGAAACAGGGUCUAAUACCGGAUAUGACCGUCUUGGGCAUCCUUGAUGGUGUAAAGCUCCGGCGGUGCAGGAUGAGCCCGCGGCCUAUCAGCUUGUUGGUGAGGUAAUGGCUCACCAAGGCGACGACGGGUAGCCGGCCUGAGAGGGCGACCGGCCACACUGGGACUGAGACACGGCCCAGACUCCUACGGGAGGCAGCAGUGGGGAAUAUUGCACAAUGGGCGAAAGCCUGAUGCAGCGACGCCGCGUGAGGGAUGACGGCCUUCGGGUUGUAAACCUCUUUCAGCAGGGAAGAAGCGAGAGUGACGGUACCUGCAGAAGAAGCGCCGGCUAACUACGUGCCAGCAGCCGCGGUAAUACGUAGGGCGCAAGCGUUGUCCGGAAUUAUUGGGCGUAAAGAGCUCGUAGGCGGCUUGUCACGUCGGUUGUGAAAGCCCGGGGCUUAACCCCGGGUCUGCAGUCGAUACGGGCAGGCUAGAGUUCGGUAGGGGAGAUCGGAAUUCCUGGUGUAGCGGUGAAAUGCGCAGAUAUCAGGAGGAACACCGGUGGCGAAGGCGGAUCUCUGGGCCGAUACUGACGCUGAGGAGCGAAAGCGUGGGGAGCGAACAGGAUUAGAUACCCUGGUAGUCCACGCCGUAACGGUGGGCACUAGGUGUGGGCAACAUUCCACGUUGUCCGUGCCGCAGCUAACGCAUUAAGUGCCCCGCCUGGGG
rnacentral:rRNA from 1 species